rnacentral:rRNA from 1 species
CGAGUAGGCGGGCCUGCAAGUCUGGUGUGAAAGCCCGGGGCUCAACCCCGGAAGAGCGUUGGAAACGGCAGGUCUUGAGUGCCGGAGAGGAAGGGGGAAUUCCCGGUGUAGCGGUGAAAUGCGUAGAUAUCGGGAGGAAUACCAGUGGCGAAGGCGCCCUUCUGGACGGCAACUGACGCUGAGGCGCGAAAGCGUGGGGAGCAAACA